rnacentral:rRNA from 1 species
AUUGAACGCUGGCGGCAGGCCUAACACAUGCAAGUCGAGCGGAUGAAGGGAGCUUGCUCCUGGAUUCAGCGGCGGACGGGUGAGUAAUGCCUAGGAAUCUGCCUGGUAGUGGGGGAUAACGUCCGGAAACGGGAGCUAAUACCGCAUACGUCCUGAGGGAGAAAGGGGGGGAUCUUCGGACCUCACGCUUUUAGAUGAGCCUAGGUCGGAUUAGCUAGUUGGUGGGGUAAAGGCCUACCAAGGCGACGAUCCGUAACUGGUCUGAGAGGAUGAUCAGUCACACUGGAACUGAGACACGGUCCAGACUCCUACGGGAGGCAGCAGUGGGGAAUAUUGGACAAUGGGCGAAAGCCUGAUCCAGCCAUGCCGCGUGUGUGAUGAAGGUCUUCGGAUUGUAAAGCUCUUUAAGUUGGGAGGAAGAGCAGUAAGUUAAUACCUUGCUGUUUUGACGUUACCAACAGAAUAAGCACCGGCUAACUUCGUG